AUUGAACGCUGGCGGCAGGCCUAACACAUGCAAGUCGAGCGAGCGGCGGACGGGUGAGGCAUGUAUGGGGACUGCCCGUUAGAGGGGGAUACCUACUGGAAACGGUAGUUAAUACUGCAUACAAUCGCAUUACCCAUGUGGGACUAGCUCGUAGGUUGGUGAAUGGCCCACCUAGGCGACGAUCCCUAGCUGGUCUGAGAGGAUGAUCAGCCACACUGGGACUGAGACACGGCCAAGACUCCUACGGAGGCAGCAGUGGGGAAUAUUGCACAAUGGGCGAAAGCCUGAUGCAGCAAGGCCGCGUGUAUGAAGAAGGCCCUAGGAUUGUAAAGUACUUUCAGUCGGGAGGCGUUACCGACAGAAGAAGCACCGGCUAACUCCGUGCCAGCAGCCGCGGUAAUAC
rnacentral:rRNA from 1 species